rnacentral:rRNA from 1 species
AUGUUUCCCUGUUUCCCAAACUGGGUCAAGCUGGAGCAUGGCGACGCAACUUGCUGCAUGCACAACAGAUGGACCUUCCAGCUGGUACAAAUGAUGCCUGUGUGGUGCUCAACACUGGCACUGCGACCUUUGAAGCUUCAGCAGGCAGACUUGGAGCCGCUGUUGCCAAUUCUCUGCAACAUUGAUGGUCAGCUCACACAUAGGCGAUGGAGCAAGCUCCGACGGGUUUCGCAGGCGGGAGUUGUAUCAUUUUUUCACCAUGGAGUUGAUCAACGUCAAGUCCAGCAGCUUCCAACCGCAGGAACCGUGUACUCUGUUCAUGUUGAGUGA